rnacentral:lncRNA from 1 species
CCUAUCUGUUUACUGUUCUAGGGCCUGUUUGAUUCGCACUUUUUUUUAUCCUAAAAUUAAAAUCGAAAUAGACAAAUCUAUUUGUCCGUAUUUGAUAUGAGAGAUUUCUAUUUUGAUUCUGAUUUUCGGAUGAAUGGAAAUUCCCUUAAUUACCUGUUUUUCCAAAUGGCUUGUGAGUUAUGAGGCUGAAUCGAAGAUUGAAUUCGGGCGGAAUGUAUUUGUUCGGAUUAAUUUUAACCUUUUUAAGCUUAUUUUCUAAUUAAAACAUAAGUUUAAGUUUAAAAAUUAUAUUUAUAAAUUUAAAUAAAUUUAAAUUUUUAUUUAAACUUAAAUUAAAAAUUAAAAUCCAAUCAAGCAUUUCGAAUCAAUUUAAAUUUAAAUUUAAUUUAAAAUUUGAAGUUUUAUUCAAAUUUUAUUUAAAAUUUAAAUUAAAUUUAUGGAUUCAAAUUGAAAUUGAAAUUAUAAUUUUAAGUUUAAAUUUGAAUAAAUCAAAAUUUAGUUUUAUAUUUUGAAUUAUCCAUUCAAUUUUAAAUUUUAAUUUUUUAACAAAUAUAUUUAAAAUUUUGAUAUUGUUUUGAAAUAUUGACGUAAAUUUUAAAUAUUUGAUUUUCAAUUUGAAUUUAAACUAAUAUUUUAUAAAAAUAAAAUUGAUAAAUUAAUUUGAUUAUGUUUCUGAUAUCUAUUUGAACAAAACUUUGAUAAUGAAAAUGGUUCAUUCCGAUUCCGAUUCAGGUGGCGAACUAAACAGAAUGAGAUAAUAAAUAAUUCCGCUUAUUCUCAUUCCGAUUCCAAUAUGGAUUCCGACUUCGAACCAAACACAUCUUAGAUCGAUCUUUCGUAUAAUUUGAUAUAAAGUCCUGCUAUAGAUAUUUUAGAAUAUAUUUUAUAAUACUAAUAAUGACAAAAGAAUAUUAUUAUUUUAUUUUAAAUAUUAAUAACUAAAUUCUAGAUAUUAUUAUUAAAUUUUAGGGUAAACUUUAAAUACUACCACUAUGGUUUCGCACUUUCUCAUUAGUACACUGUGGUUUAAAGUGUAUCAAGUUAGUGUCCUGUGGUUUAAUUUUUAUUUUUUCGUCAGCUUUUUCGUUAAUAUUUUGUUAAAUUAUGUAUAAAAAACUUCAGAUACCCUAUCUAGGUUUAUUAAAUAUUCACUUUAGUUCCCUUUAGUUUUAACUUUGUCACCAAUUUAAUGAAAAAAAUUAGUAAAAUCGAUAAUGAAAGGAUAAAAAUGAAACCACAUGACACUAAAUUGAUACACUUUAAAUUACAAAGUACUAAAGUGAGAAAGUGUGAAACCAUAGGGGUGGUAUUUGAAGUUUUUCCUAAAUUUUAAGCAUUAUUAU